AGGACACAAUUGGAUAAGGUUAUUUUAUCAAGACUUUAACUGGAAGGGCCAUCAAACUCCAAACAAUCAUGCAACCAGAGCCUCUAAUGAUGGCCCCUUCUGCCAGGAACCUUUAAAUUUCCUCUGAGGGAGCUCUGACUGUUGUUUCUCAACAACUGCACCCCCUGUCAGCAGGAAGCAGUUAAGAUCAUCUUCCUCCUUACCUUGAAUCUACCAGCGGUUACAUGUACUUCUUUAGAGGGGUGAAUGAGAGCCAGGUGGGAGGGGGUCCCUGGAGAAAUUCCAGUCAGUCUGCCCAUUGAGGUGGAGCCUUGGGAAGUUCAUGCCCUUUGCAGUGGGGAGGGGCCUGGCCCCACCUCUUCCUAUGUGGAACCCAGUAUUCAAAUAGCAGCAGGAAGCUCUCUAGCAGGGGACUCUGAAACAGGAGGAUGCCUGUCCCCCCUCCUCCUUUUUUUUCCCUUUUCACCCAAUAAAACCUUGCUUUACUCACCCUUUAAACCAUCUUUGAGCCUAAAUUUUCAUGUCUAUAGGAUAGACAAGAACCCUGUCUUUAGCUAAACUAAGGAAAACUCCUGCAACAAUAUUUACUCAUAACAUUACAACUGUCCUACGUACAACUGGAAAUAUAUCAGUUCCCAACCCAAAU
rnacentral:lncRNA from 1 species